rnacentral:rRNA from 1 species
UGGGGAAUAUUGGACAAUGGGCGAAAGCCUGAUCCAGCCAUGCCGCGUGUGUGAAGAAGGUCUUCGGAUUGUAAAGCAUUUUAAGUUGGGAGGAAGGGCAGUAAGCGAAUACCUUGCUGUUUUGACGUUACCGACAGAAUAAGCACCGGCUAACUCUGUGCCAGCAGCCGCGGUAAUACAGAGGGUGCAAGCGUUAAUCGGAAUUACUGGGCGUAAAGCGCGCGUAGGUGGUUCGUUAAGUUGAAUGUGAAAGCCCCGGGCUCAACCUGGGAACUUCAUCAAAAACUGGCGAGCUGGAGUAGGGCAGAGGGUGGUGGAAUUUCCUGUGUAGCGGUGAAAUGCGUAGAUAUAGGAAGGAACACCAGUGGCGAAGGCGACCACCUGGGCUCAUACUGACACUGAGGUGCGAAAACGUGGGGAGCAAACAGG